AUUGAACGCUGGCGGCAGGCCUAACACAUGCAAGUCGAACGAGUGGCGGACGGGUGAGUAAUGUCUGGGAAACUGCCCGAUGGAGGGGGAUAACUACUGGAAACGGUAGCUAAUACCGCAUCCCAUCGGAUUUGCCCAGAUGGGAUUAGCUAGUAGGUGGGGUAACGGCUCACCUAGGCGACGAUCCCUAGCUGGUCUGAGAGGAUGACCAGCCACACGGGAACUGAGACACGGUCAAGAAUCCUACGUGAGGCAGCAGUGGGGAAUAUGGCACAAUGGGCGAAAGCCUGAUGCAGCCAUGCCGCGUGUAUGAAGAAGGCCUGCGGGUUGUAAAGUACUUUAAGCGAGGAGGCGUUACUCGCAGAAGAAGCACCGGCUAACUCCGUGCCAGCAGCCGCGGUAAUAC
rnacentral:rRNA from 1 species